UUCUUACUUCUUUUAAUGAAUACAAGUCUUUAUUGCCUUUCCGAAUUUGAAAGUGCAACAAUUUCGGGGUUUUCUCUAUAUCUACUGCAAGGGCUGCUUUGUGGGAAAAAAAACCUGAUGCUAGAAG
rnacentral:rRNA from 1 species